UGCACGGUGGCGCAGUUGGUAGCACUGUUGCUUUGCACUGUUGCUUUGCAGCAAAAAGGUCCUGGGUUCGAUUCCCGGAGUUUGCAU